UAUUUCUUUAAUAUAAAAAGUAUAUUUGACUUCCAAUCAAAAAGUCUAAAUAUUUAGAAGAAAUAA
rnacentral:tRNA from 1 species